rnacentral:rRNA from 1 species
AAGUAGGUAAGACCCCAGGAAGAUGACCUGGUCGAUCGGCCCGAGAUGUACACGCCGUGAGGCGUUCAGUCGACGGGUACGAAUCGGUCGAGGACUUGACCUU